GAUGAACGCUGGCGGCGUGCCUAAUACAUGCAAGUAGAACGCUGAAGGAGGAGCUUGCUCUUCUGGAUGAGUUGCGAACGGGUGAGUAACGCGUAGGUAACCUGCCUGGUAGCGGGGGAUAACUAUUGGAAACGAUAGCUAAUACCGCAUGACAACAGUUAUUGCAUGAUAACUGUUUAAAAGGGGCAACUGCUCCACUACCAGAUGGACCUGCGUUGUAUUAGCUAGUUGGUGAGGUAACGGCUCACCAAGGCGACGAUACAUAGCCGACCGGAGAGGGGGAGCGGCCACACUGGGACUGAGACACGGCCCAGACUCCUACGGGAGGCCGCAGUAGGGAAUCUUCGGCAAUGGACGGAAGUCUGACCGAGCAACGCCGCGUGAGUGAAGAAGGUUUUCGGAUCGUAAAGCUCUGUUGUAAGAGAAGAACGAGUGUGAGAGUGGAAAGUUCACACUGUGACGGUAUCUUACCAGAAAGGGACGGCUAACUACGUG
rnacentral:rRNA from 1 species